rnacentral:rRNA from 1 species
AACGGGGGGGGCUAGUGCUAUGCAACCUAACUGGGCGUUAAGGGCGCGUAGGCUGUUUGUUAUGUUUUUUUAUAAAGUCUCGGUCUCAAGCUGAGGAAAUUCUCUUAUACUAACAAUCUUUGAGUUUAGGGCAGUAAAAUGGUACGGAUACUGGACAGUUGGAAUGGGUAAAAAUAUUUCGGACCACCUUUAGGUGAAAACGGUUUUAUGGCUCUGGUUUAAACUGACGCUGAUGUGCAAAGGGUAGGGGAGCAAACGGG